rnacentral:rRNA from 1 species
CCUACGGGAGGCUGCAGUGGGGAAUAUUGCACAAUGGGGGGAACCUUGAUGCAGCAACGCCGCGUGGGUGAAGAAGUACUCCGGUAUGUAAAGCCCUGUCAGAAGGGAAGAAAAUGACGGUACCUGACCAAGAAGCCCCGGCUAACUACGUGCCAGCAGCCGCGGUAAUACGUAGGGGCCAAGCGUUAUCCGGAUUUACUGGGUGUAAAGGGGUCGUAGACGGAAAGGCAAGUCUGGAGUGAAAGCCCGUGGCCCAACCACGGGACUGCUUGGGAAACUGUGUAGCUGGAGUGCAGGAGGGGUAAGCGGAAGUCCUAGUGUAGCGGUGAAAUGCGUAGAUAUUAGGAGGAACACCGGUGGCGAAGGCGGCUUACUGGACUGUAACUGACGUUGAGGCUCGAAGGCGUGGGGAGCAAACAGGAUUAGAUACCCCUGUAGUC